GACAGCUGGAAUAGCCACGAUGGUGUGUUGGCGGCGGUGGUUGCGGCUCGGUGCUUGGAGGUUGUCUAGAUCGGGUGGAAUUUUGUGGUUUGCCUUAUUUUAUUUUCUCUAGAUUUGUUUGAAAUUUAGGAUUGCAUUUUUACACCAUUGUAGAUACGUGUUGUAUCUCUUUUUUUAGGGGAAGAUACACGUUGUAUCUAAAUGUGCACAAAGUUUCACAAACAAAAUUCAUGAAGAUACGAUCUGAGACGAAAACAGUUUCC
rnacentral:lncRNA from 1 species